rnacentral:rRNA from 1 species
CCUACGGGAGGCAGCAGUGGGGGAUAUUGCACAAUGGGGGAAACCCUGAUGCAGCGACGCCGCGUGUGGGAAGACGGUCCUCUGGAUUGUAAACCACUGUCGCCAGGGACGAAGAUGACGGUACCUGGGGCGCAAGCUCCGGCAAACAACGUGCCAGCAGCCGCGGUAAUACGUAGGGAGCGAGCGUUGUCCGGAAUUACUGGGUGUACAGGGAGCGUAGGCGGGGAUGAAAGUUGGGUGUCAAAACUACCGGCUCAACUGGUAGUCGCACUCAAAACUGCAGCUCUUGAGUGAAGUAGAGGCAGGCGGAAUUCCUAGUGUAGCGGUGAAAUGCGUAGAUAUUAGGAGGAACACCAGUGGCGAAGGCGGCCUGCUGGGCUGUGACUGACGCUGAGGCUCGAAAGUGUGGGGAGCAAACAGGAUUAGAUACCCUUGUAGUC